rfam:Porphyromonas gingivicanis strain COT-022_OH1391 contig_12, whole genome shotgun sequence.
AGCCACAUUUGUCUAAUUGGGAAACUCAUCAAUUAUAUUGUGUUUACCGAAAUGUUGCUAUGACUAAUGGCGGGCUACCUUAGAGUAGAUUACAAAGGUCAUGGUACGUUCAAAUCCUGUUAGUAGGAGUUUUCACAAUUCACAAUGUGGCUUUUAUU